rnacentral:lncRNA from 12 species
CACUGAGUAUCAGAAAACUUUGCAUCUGCUUCUAGUACUCAUACAUGCUUGGAAGAUAGAGAUCUUUUAACAGAACUGGGUGUAAUUUUUCUUCCCACUUAGCCGGUGAGCCAUCUUAGUGCUAAAUUUGGUAUAAAGUAUCAUAAGAAAAGCUCUUGUGCUGUUCACACUGAUGUGUCACCCUGUUACUCAUGUUGGAGUUAGCACUGAGAGACAAAGUGCACAAAAGCAAAUCAAUGACACCUUGUUCUGAAAUAAAAUCACCUUUAUAUGUAUAUAAACCAUAGAAGCCCAUUGUUACAAUCUUCCAUCAUUACCACUGUCAUCAAAAAGCACUAACUGAAGGCUUAAUUUCUGGGAAUUUUAUAGUCCCCAUCGCUCAGAGAAAGUCUACCUUUUCUACUGAGGGAGACACACUGAGCAGAUAGAUGCCAAAAGGAAGUAGACACAACUAAUUAACAAAGAGUGGACAAACACAAAUAGAUAAGAGUAAAUAUUGGCUUUGUAUAAAAGCCAAAAGAGUAGUGCAUUCUCUCACAUUUUACAGAAGACAACCUUGUUCCCACAGACAGAGAGCCACCAUUGUGUCCCAGCCUUCCUGGAUUCCACAGGGAUUAAAAGUCCCUGAGGAAAUGUGUUGUGACCUGCAGUGUACCAUUCUGGACCAGUCGGAAGGUGUGAAGGGCUUCCGGACCUUUGUCGUAAAGGUUUGGGUUGGUCCAGCUGCCAAGACGGGUAAUGAUUCGCUUCCUCCUGGAAACUUCUCUGCAGAGCUUUUCCACCUGAGGGCUGCAUGCAUCUCUUCAGGACCCUGUCACACAGACCAACUUUGUUCUGGUCCCUCAAGUGAGUGGGACACUCUGUAUCUACCUCUGGGCUUUAAGCUCGCUUCUCCCUUUACCUCUCUCUUGGAGUCUUCCGUGGUUCCAGAUCCUACUUUUGCUUUCGAUUUUUUUCCUCUCUGCCUGUUCUAUCUCUGUGCAGUUUUUGUUUGCCUGGGGCAUCUACACCAGCCAGAAAUUAACGCUGGUUCUACCCUUCUCUAA